UACGGAGGGUGCAAGCGUUAUCCGGAUUCACUGGGUUUAAAGGGUGCGUAGGUGGGUUGGUAAGUCAGUGGUGAAAUCUCCGAGCUUAACUUGGAAACUGCCAUUGAUACUAUCAGUCUUGAAUACCGUGGAGGUCAGCGGAAUAUGUCGUGUAGCGGUGAAAUGCUUAGAUAUGACAUAGAACACCAAUUGCGAAGGCAGCUGACUACGCGAAUAUUGACACUGAUGCACGAAAGCGUGGGGAUCAAACAGG
rnacentral:rRNA from 1 species